UACGAAGGGGGCUAGCGUUGUUCGGAAUUACUGGGCGUAAAGCGCGCGCAGGCGGUCUUCCAAGUCAGUGGUGAAAGCCCGGAGCUUAACUCCGGAACUGCCAUUGAAACUGUAAGACUUGAGGAUGAGAGAGGUGAGUGGAAUUCCCAGUGUAGAGGUGAAAUUCGUAGAUAUUGGGAAGAACACCGGUGGCGAAGGCGGCUCACUGGCUCAUUUCUGACGCUCAGGCGCGACAGCGUGGGGAUCAAACAGG
rnacentral:rRNA from 1 species